rnacentral:rRNA from 1 species
UGUGGCUAAACCGCGAUAGGUCAUCGCUUCUGGAAUGGGCAAUGGCUCAAACCUACAUGGCCCCAGGAUGGGACUGCGGCCGAUCAGGUUGUUGGUGAGGUAAUGGCCCACCAAGCCUGUAACCGGUACGGGCUCUGAGAGGAGGAGCCCGGAGAUGGGCACUGAGACAAGGGCCCAGGUCCUAUGGGACGCAGCAGGCGCGAAACCUUCGCAAUAGGCGAAAGCCUGACGAGGUUAAUCCGAGUGUUCCCUGCUAAAGGGAUCUUUUGCCAGCUCUAAAAAUGCUGGUGAAUAAGGGGUGGGCAAGCCUGGUGUCAGCCGCCGCGGUAAUACCAGCACCCCGAGUGGUCGGGAUGAUUAUUUGGCCUAAAGCAUCCGUAGCCGGCGCAUUAAGUCUUCCGUUAAAUCCAUCUGCUCAACAGAUGGGCUGCGGGAGAUACUGUUGCGCUAGGAGGCGGGAGAGGCGAGGGGUAUUCCAUGGGUAGGGGUAAAAUCCUUUGAUCCAUGGAGGACCACCAGUGGCGAAGGCGUCUCGCCAGAACGCGCUCGACGGUGAGGGAUGAAAGCUGGGGGAGCAAACCGGAUUAGAUACCCGGGUAGUCCCAGCUGUAAACGAUGUA